rnacentral:tRNA from 1 species
GCACCCGUAGCUCAGUUGGAUAGAGCAUCCGCCUUCUAAGCGGACGGUCACUGGUUCGAAUCCAGUCGGGUGUGCCA